rnacentral:rRNA from 1 species
ACACGCAUGACACACUGCAUAUCAAUAAGCGGAGGAAAAGAAACUAACUAGGAUUCCCUCAGUAACGGCGAGUGAAGCGGGAAGAGCUCAAAUUUGAAAUCUUCAAGGUUCUACCUUGACGAAUUGUAGUUUAAAGAAGUGUUUUCUGUUGGAGUUUUGGUAAAAGUUCUUUGGAAUAGGACAUCAUAGAGGGUGAGAAUCCCGUAUUUGACCAUUAUUUCCAACUUUGUGAUACACUUUCAAAGAGUCGGAUUGUUUGGGAAUGCAGUCCAAAAUGGGUGGUAAAUUUCAUCUAAAGCUAAAUAUUGGCGAGAGACCGAUAGCGAACAAGUACCGUGAGGGAAAGAUGAAAAGAACUUUGAAAAGAGAGUUAAACAGUACGUGAAAUUGCCAAAAGGGAAGCGUUUGACACCAGUGUUGUUUUUCCGAAAAUCAAUUAUGAAUGGCUUGAUUUUAAGUUUCAUGACCUUAAAAGCUUGUUUCUUAUUUUUCAUGUCUUUCGUAAUGCACUUUUCGGUUAACAAGUCAACAUCAAUUUCUUUUGUUGUAAAAGGUUAAGAGGAAGGUGGCUUUACUUUCGGGUAAAGUGUUUAUAGCCUUUUAACUCUGCAAUCGGAGAGAUUGAGGUCUGCAGCGUAGAUCCUUCGGGGUUAGAUACGUUUGUGCUAAGUUAUAGCUUUUCAUAGACAACUUGUUGACUAUGUUAAGUCUUGUAAUUUACUCGCAGAUGCUAUUCUACCUACGCUUAGGAUGUUGAUCUACAGAGCGAGAGU